rnacentral:rRNA from 1 species
UACGUAGGGUGCAAGCGUUGUCCGGAAUUAUUGGGCGUAAAGAGCUUGUAGGCGGUUUGUCGCGUCUGCUGUGAAAUUUCGGGGCUCAACCCCGAACUUGCAGUGGGUACGGGCAGACUAGAGUGUGGUAGGGGAGACUGGAAUCCCUGGUGUAGCGGUGAAAUGCGCAGAUAUCAGGAGGAACACCGAUGGCGAAGGCAGGUCUCUGGGCCAUAACUGACGCUGAGAAGCGAAAGCAUGGGGAGCGAACAGG